ACCUUUCAAAUCAGGGUGCGGCGCGGCCCCCGAGGAGCGGAACAAUCCUUGGGAGGUAUGCGGGGGCUUCGAGCCCCCCAUUUACGCACGCACGACUGCCAUCCUUACUUUACGAGCACCUUCUGUUACUCCCUCGGGCGGGGCAACCUGCCGUUGGAACCGAAUAAACUCUUUUUGCAUCUAGCAUUACCUGUUCCGAAACAAACAAUCGUUA
rnacentral:misc_RNA from 1 species